CGCUAAGAAGCUAAACUGGACCAAAGCGUCAGCCUUUUAAGCUGGAAAAUGGUGCCUUCCAACCACCCUUAGCGA
rnacentral:tRNA from 1 species